rnacentral:rRNA from 1 species
UAAUACGUAGGGGGCAAGCGUUGUCCGGAUUUAUUGGGCGUAAAGAGCGUGUAGGCGGCCAGGUAGGUGGGUUGUGAAAACUGGAGGCUCAACCUUCAGACGUCGACCCAAACCCCCUGGCUAGAGUCCGGAAGAGGAGAGUGGAAUUCCUGGUGUAGCGGUGAAAUGCGCAGAUAUCAGGAAGAACACCCGUGGCGAAGGCGGCUCUCUGGGACGGUACUGACGCUGAGACGCGAAAGCGUGGGGAGCGAACAGGAUUAGAUACCCUGGUAGUCCACGCCGUAAACGAUGGGUGCUAGGUGUGGGGGGUGUCGACUCCCUCCGUGCCGAAGCUAACGCAUUAAGCACCCCGCCUGGGGAGUACGGCCGCAAGGCUA